GCACUGCUGACGAGUCCUAAACAGGACGAAAUAGUUUCAAGUAC
rnacentral:hammerhead_ribozyme from 1 species